rnacentral:rRNA from 1 species
GUAGGGAAUAUUGGGCAAUGGAUGCAAGUCUGACCCAGCCAUGCCGCGUGGAGGAAGAAGGUCCUCUGGAUUGUAAACUCCUUUUUUGGGGGAAGAAUAGUUCUCUUGCGAGGGAAUGUGACGGUACCCUAAGAAUAAGCCACGGCUAACUACGUGCCAGCAGCCGCGGUAAUACGUAGGUGGCAAGCGUUGUCCGGAUUUAUUGGGUUUAAAGGGUGCGUAGGUGGUUUGAUAAGUCAGUGGUGAAAGCUGGUUGCUCAACAAUCAAGUUGCCAUUGAUACUGUCGGACUUGAGAGAAGUGGAGGUUCAUGGAAUGGAUGGUGUAGCGGUGAAAUGCAUAGAUAUCAUCCAGAACGUCGAUUGCGAAGGCAGUGGGCUGUACUUUAUCUGACACUGAGGCACGAAAGUGUGGGGAUCAAACAGGAUUAGAUACCCUUGUAGUCC